GAUGAACGCUGGCGGCGUGCUUAAUACAUGCAAGUCGAGCGAACGGACGAGAAGUUUGUUUUUUUGAUGUUAGCGGCGGACGGGUGAGUAACACGUGGAUACCCUCCUUAUAAGACUGGGAUAAUUUCGGGAAACCGGAGCAAAUCCCGGAUAAUAUUUUGAACCGCAUGGUUCAAAAGUAAAAGACGGUUUUGCUGUCACUAAUAGAUGGAUCCGCGCUGCAUUAGCUAGUUGGUAAGGUAACGGCUUACCAAGGCAACGAUGCAUAGCCGACCUGAUGGGGUGAUCGGCCACAUGGGAACGGAGACACGGUCCAGACUCCUACGGGAGGCAGCAGUAGGGAAUCUUCCGCAAUGGGCGAAAGCCUGACGGAGCAACGCGGCGUGAGUGAUAAAGGUCUUCGGUUCGUAAAACUCUGUUAUUGGGGAAGAACAGAUGUGGAAGUAACUGUGCACAUCGUGACGGUACCUAAUCAGAAAGCCACGGCUAACUACGUG
rnacentral:rRNA from 1 species